GAGGUUUCCACUGGUCAGUCUGCACAGCAACAUCAAAACACCUGGACUCUGUGGUUAUGCGGCUGGAGGACAACAUCACCAUGUUUGUGAAGAACGAGCUGAAGAAGAUCCAGAAGCUUCUGAGUCCAGAUCACCCAGAAACUUUAAAGAGCCAGAUGGAGGAUGAGGAGAUGUUUGAGGUGAGGAUGAAGAUGAAAGAAAGAGCUGCAGAGAAGCAUUUCUGAAGAUCACACUCCACUUCUUGAGGAGACUUAAGCAGCAUGAGAUGGCUGACCAUCUGCAGAGCAAAAUAUUUGCUCCACUCUGUAAACGUGAACUUAAAGCCCAACUGAAGAAGAA